UACGAAGGGGGCUAGCGUUGCUCGGAAUCACUGGGCGUAAAGCGCACGUAGGCGGCUUCUUAAGUCAGGGGUGAAAUCCUGGAGCUCAACUCCAGAACUGCCUUUGAUACUGAGAAGCUUGAGUCCGGGAGAGGUGAGUGGAACUGCGAGUGUAGAGGUGAAAUUCGUAGAUAUUCGCAAGAACACCAGUGGCGAAGGCGGCUCACUGGCCCGGUACUGACGCUGAGGUGCGAAAGCGUGGAGAGCAAACAGG
rnacentral:rRNA from 1 species